rfam:Salmo salar isolate Sally breed double haploid chromosome ssa04, whole genome shotgun sequence.
CAGUACACUCAUCCAUAAAGUAGGAAACACUACACUGUGGCGAGGAGUUUAGUAGUGCUUUCUACUUUAUGGAUGACUGCACUGU